AGUAUGGUACUGGCAUAAAAAAAGACACAUAGACCAAUGGAACAGAAUAGAGAACCCAGAAAUAAAUCCACUCAUCUAUAGUCAACUGAUCUUCAAAAGGGUACC